rnacentral:lncRNA from 1 species
AGUAACAGAGACGACUGCAGGGCUGACCUAAGCUUAGUAGCCUGGCUUCUCCGGGAGCUGAGGGUGAGCAUCAUGCCUGCUCCAUCUCCCUCUUUGUUGUGGAUAAGGCAGGGUCAUCAAGACAGGAGGAUAUGAGGCAGAAUCACCACACAAGAUUCUAUAAAGAAGAGAAUGAUCUAACCUGAUGUACAUAUGACAUUAAUCCAAUAGACUUAGGAAUAAGAUACAGGGGGUUUUCCUGAAUGAUUCGAGUAUAUCCCCAUUCAUAUUAAGAAAACAAAGUAUUGGCCAAGCGUGGUGGCUCACGCCUGUAAUCCCGGCACUUUGGAAGGCCGAGGCCAGUGGAUCACCUGAGAUGGACUCAACGACUCUCUUACCGUCCAGCUCUCAAGUCCCUUCUCUUGUGAAAAUGGAAAAGUUGAACUACAGUUGAGAUAUUAUUCCCAGGUGUUCUUUGGAACACAGGGGAUUUCUCCAAAAGGCACAGAACAAAUUGCCUCCAAACAGCCAAGAUUCCAGCAGAAGCUGGAGUAGCAGACUACUUGGAUCUUCAAAGUACCUGGCCCUGAGUCAGUUAAGGAAGAUCUUUUCUUCUCUUUUGUACAAUCCUAUGAUGAGAGCUGCAAAGUGAACUGACUAAGAGCUUCUGCCUUGAUCAUUGACCUCCCAAUCCUAAUAAUAUGUUCACUGGCCAAACUUCCUAAUCGAUUUGUCUUUUGGAUAUAACGUUCCUCCUACUGUUUGCCUGAUUGAGAAAUCUGCUACAGAACAUGACCGGUUAGCAUUCCCACCAACCCCAGUGCUACACUGACUGUCUUUCGAUGGACUUUGCUCCUUGCUGCCUCUCUGAGGUCCCAGACCUUCAGAGUGACCUUCACAGCUCUGCCUAACUUUCUGUCAUACUUCUAUCAAGAGAGACAGCUAAAUCAAUAUUUUUAAUGUGCUUUGCUGUCGGAAUUCGAUGAUCUGUCACAGUUCUUGCCCAAUACACCCCAUCAUUAUUGUUAAAAUGUUUUUAGCUUUGUUUGUAGAAUUGCUUUAACUGGUUUCAUCUCUGGGAGCUACACUUUGAAAUAUAACUUUAGCAACAUUUUACUAUACUUUUUCACAACCCAGAGCAGUACUAUUUUAUGCUUAGUGGUUAAACUAAUUCCAUAAAUCUUUUGCAACUAUCCUCUAUUCUUUUUCUUGUAAUUUUUACCUGGGAAGGUUUUUACUGAUAAUCAUCCUAUCCUGAGUCAUCCCACAAACCAAUCUGUCUCACUAAUCAUUGCUUCUAACCUACAGACUAAGCAUAACUUCUGCUAAAUGAUCUUUGAUAAGAUGCUAUGACUCUAUAAAGUCUUUGAUAUUCAUGUCUAAAUUUAAUCACUUGUAGAUUUUCAUAGAAUCAAUCUUUCACUUCUACAAUUGGGAGUAUUUAUAAGUUGUUUAUCUUAAACAGUUCCUCUAUCACGCUUUUCACGUUAAAUAAAGCAAUCCCUUCAAAUC